rnacentral:rRNA from 1 species
AGGGUGCGAGCGUUAAUCGGAAUUACUGGGCGUAAAGCGCAUGACAGGUGGUUUAGUUAGUACAGAUGUAGAAACGGACCCGGGGCCGUCAACCUACGGAAUAGCUAUUGUAAACUGGCAGACUAGAGUACUGUAGAGGGGGGUAGAAUUUCAGGUGUAGCGGUGAAAUGCGUAGAGAUCUGAAGGAAUACCGGUGGCGAAGGCGGCCCCCUCGGACAGAUACUGACACUCAGAUGCGAAAGCGUGGGGAGCAAACAGGAUUAGAUACCCUGGUAG